rnacentral:tRNA from 1 species
GGCCGCCUGGCGAAAUGGCAUCGCGUCUGACUACGAUAUCGGUAAUCAGGAGAUUGCAGGUUCGACCCCUGCGGUGGUCA